rnacentral:lncRNA from 1 species
UGUGUGGUGUGUGGUAUAUAUAUGUCAUCUGUGUAUGUGUGUGUAAACACAUAUGCAUGAUUUCUGACAGAGCUUGGUGUCUAGUGCAGCAUGAGUUGAGCAUUGACAUUAUUAUUACCCAUUAGAUUUGGUUAGUGAAGCCCCAGCCUGUUCAUGGUGGAAUGUAUUUGUGGAUAAAAGUUGAGGUUAAACCUGACUGCUUUCAGUUUCGGGAAGACAAAUUUCCUGGGAGGAGUUAGGGCCCCAGGAAGAUGUAAACAAGUAGAGGCUGGCUGGAACCUGUCUCUUCCUUGACAGGAAUGCUGGCUGGCUUUCCUAUCAGUUUCAAGCUCUGCAGGGCUGUGAAACAGAGUGGCUCUUUCAACUUCCUAAUGGUUGGAUAUAACAGCUUACAGUGGCCUUUGUUUGGGUUCUAUAAAAAUUAGAUUUAAUUGCAGAAUCCCAGCUUUUGGUUUACAUUUGUUUAAACAGAGUUUACAAAAUGAUAUAAAGCAAGGUGCCCAAUAUCCUGCUUAUGUAAAUUUCCAGCACUUUGGAGGGGGGCCUGACUAAGCAGGGCAAGGGACUAUUGUUCCAGAUGCAGGUGAGGGUUAAAAACACACACCAGGAGUUCUAGUCCUAGUGAAAUUGGUGGGGAGAUGGAGAUAUUGAGCACAGGCAUGAGUGAACACCAGAAGAUAACAUUGGGAAUCAGUCCUUGACUUUUCUCCUGUAUCAGGCAGUAAGUGCCAUUACCUGCUGAGCCAUCUUGCCAGUCCAGGUGACUUUCCUCUUUCCUUUGUAGCAAGAUCUCUUGCUCCACAAGCUAGCCUCAGGUACUCAGGUACGGCGCUGAGGAUGUUUGAAUUUCUGAUUGUCUACCUGCAUCCUGAGUCCUUCAGUCAAGGGCAUGAGCCUGUUUGCUAGGUUUCACAUGGUCCUAGGGAUUGACCAUAUGACUUUGUACGUGCUAACUACACCACAUGCCAUCUCCAGCACAUGAUUUGUUUAGACUUUUUUUUGGUUGGGGGGGGGGAGGGCUCUCAUGUCUCUCAGGCUGGCCUUGAAUUUGUUGUAUAACUGAGGAUGACCUUAAAUUCCUGAUCUUCCUUCCUUCAUCUUCUGAGUACUGGGAUUACAAAUUCAUACCAUCAAAUAGUCCACCAACUAGGCUACUUUGCCAGCUACUUUGCUAGGCUACUUUGACCUGUAGGGCAAAAAGAUAUAUAUUUUUAAAAAGGAGGGAAGAGAGAUGAUAGACAGAUAGAUAUAGAUUUUUUUUUUUUUAAUUUCUAGAAAAGGAAGAGUUCAGACGUUACAUUGUGCGACAAGGAGUGUCCCAAGAUGCCAUUGAGUUCAUUUUCUGUUUAAAGCUGAGUUUGGUUAAAGUCCCAUCUUGUUAAUAGUGACAAGCUGCCUAAACACACGCCUCUUGAUCCCCAUCCUUUCAAACACCAGGUGGUGUUUUCUCAAUUGGAGCUGUGACCAUCUCGCUAAAGCUCAGGUGGUGACUGUUCCCCAGGGCCUCCUGUAUGUGUGAUGUUUAUCUAGUUUCCUAGUCAAGAAGGUGCAGCUGCUUUCAGGCCACAGCAGAACAGGUUGAGAGAAGCCAACCAGACAAGUCUCUUACAGAUCCCAGAUAACAAAUUCUUGACAAUUUAAAAAAAAAAAAAUAUAUAUAUAUAUAUAUAUUUUUUUUUUUUCCCAGAAAGGGAAGGGCUUUUGCUGGUAUGUUUGAGAGAUUGUUGUGUUGUGAAAUAAAACGUUGUUUAGAAAGCUUGUUUUGUCAAAUAAGCUCAUGUAGGGUCCUAGA